AAUUUGUGAUACAUUUUGAUUAUAGAAACACUAACAAUUCUAUUUACUGUUUCUAAGCAAUAUUUUGUUGGUUUUAGCCUCUUUUGGGAGAAAAUGGGUAUAAGUGUUGUCUAAACAAACACUCCUAAUCCAUCUCUAACUCUAUAAUUAGUCAAAGGCAUUUGAUUGUGAAACAUUUGACCAUAGAAACACUAACAAAGCUAUUUACUGCCUCUAAGCAAAUGUUUACUGGUUUUAGCCUCUUUUGGGAUAAAAUGUGUAUAAGUGUUGCCUAAACACUUCUAAUCCAUCUCUAACUCUUAUAAUUAGUCAAUUGCAUUAGAUUGUGACACAUUUUGACCAUAGAAACACUAACAAAUCUAUUGACUGCUCCUAAGCAAGUUUUAUUGGUUUUAUCCUCUUUUGGGAUAAAAUGGGUAUAAGUGUUGUCUAAACACUCCUAAUCCAUCUCUAACUCUAUAAUUAGUCAAAGGCAUUGGAUUGUGAAACAUUUUGACCAUAGAAACACUAACAAAGCUAUUUACUACGUCUAAGCAAAUGUUUGUUGGUUUUAGCCUCUUUUGGGAUAAAAUGGGUAUAAGUGUUGUCUAAACACUUCUAUUCCAUCUCUAACUCUUAUAAUUAGUCGAAUGCAUUGGAUUGUGAUACCUUUUGACCAUAAAAACACUAACAAAGCUAUUUACUGG
rnacentral:sRNA from 1 species